rnacentral:tRNA from 1 species
UGCUUGAAAGCGAAUAAUCGCACUAAGUUUCGGCCUUAGCUAUGAGAGUUUUUCUUCUCUCAAGUAA